rnacentral:rRNA from 1 species
AGCAGUAGCCGCGGUAACACGUAGGUCCCGAGCGUUGUCCGGAUUUAUUGGGCGUAAAGCGAGCGCAGGCGGUUAGAUAAGUCUGAAGUUAAAGGCUGUGGCUUAACCAUAGUACGCUUUGGAAACUGUUUAACUUGAGUGCAAGAGGGGAGAGUGGAAUUCCAUGUGUAGCGGUGAAAUGCGUAGAUAUAUGGAGGAACACCGGUGGCGAAAGCGGCUCUCUGGCUUGUAACUGACGCUGAGGCUCGAAAGCGCGGGGAGCAAACAGGAUUAGAUACCCGCGUAGUCCCUGUCUCUUAUACA